CACCUGAUCCCAUCCCGAACUCAGCAGUGAAACGAUGUAUCGCCGAUGGUAGUGGGGGGUUUCCCCAUGUGAGAGUAGGUCAUCGUCAAGA
rnacentral:rRNA from 1 species